GAGGAGGUGAUCCGGGUCAUCGUUCUGCCCUUCCUGCCUCAGUUUCCCUACUUAUCGAAUGAACAUAUGGUCAUAAGCCCUCCUUGCCUUACUUCACACUUCUGGGAGGAUCAAAGGCAAGAACAAGUUGGUCCAGAGUGAGCACCCCGCGUCGUCGAUCAAGGGAACAUCACACACUGGCCUGGCCUUCCUUACGCAGGGGCAGCCGAAGUUCCAGAGAGGCUCCGUGGUUCCCCUCGCCAAACAGCUGGGAGAAGAUGGAGCUCCCACCAGGCUGGCCUCUUGGAUUCUAAAUCUGAGUCUCUUUCCACCACCUCCUCUGCAGGCCCCUGGGCUCCCCAGCAGAGAGCGUGUGCCUCGCUGCCAUCUCCCGCACAGGACCAACAUGUACCCUCUUUCUUCUCCCACUG